GCUUACGGCCAUACCACCCUGAACACGCCCGAUCUCGUCAGAUCUCGGAAGCUAAGCAGGGUCGGGCCUGGUUAGUACUUGGAUGGGAGACCUGGGAAUACCAGGUGCUGUAAGCU
rnacentral:rRNA from 1 species